AUUGAACGCUGGCGGCAGGCCUAACACAUGCAAGUCGAACGAGUGGCGGACGGGUGAGUAAUGUCUGGGAAACUGCCCGAUGGAGGGGGAUAACUACUGGAAACGGUAGCUAAUACCGCAUACCAUCGGAUGUGCCCAGAAGGGAUUAGCUAGUAGGUGGGGUAACGGCUCACCUAGGCGACGAUCCCUAUCUGGUCUGAGAGGAUGACCAUCCUAACUGGAACGGAGACACGGUCCAGAGUCCCACGGGAGGCAGCAGUGGGGAAGAUUGCACAAUGGGCGCAAGCCUGAUGCAGCCAUGCCGCGUGUAUGUAGAAGGCCUUCGGGUUUUAAAGUACUUUCAGCGGGGAGGCGUUACCCGCAGAAGAAGCACCGGCUAACUCCGUGCCAGCAGCCGCGGUAAUAC
rnacentral:rRNA from 1 species